rnacentral:lncRNA from 10 species
GCCCAAAUAAGCAUAUUUUUAGCCAUUUAGGGCCUGAUCUGCAUACUCCAUGAAAUUGGCAAUAUUUAUUAUCCAUAGAUAAGAUAAGCCCCAGUGUUAUAAAGUUGCCAGGCUGCUGCUGUCCUUUGAGUUCACUAACCCUGAGACUCCCUGCUGUGCCUCUGACUUAUCCCCUUUCCUAGAAGUUUCCUUGCUCUCCUCCCCUUCUGAAUGGUGGUCCCUCCAAGACUCCGGAUAGUUUCAAGAUGUGAAGGACUCAUUCCUCCUGCUUACUUGCUAAAGCAGCACCCUGCUAAAGCUUGUGCAUGUUGCUGCCAGCUUGGGUGUUUCCAAGCAAUUGGACGGAUCCUCGCAAUAACCCACUGAGGUAUCCCUUAGAAUCAGCUUUAAGCAAAAGCAUCCCAGCACUUUGGGAGGCUGAGGUGGGUGGGUCACCUGAGGUCAGGAGUUUGAGACCAGCCUGGAUAACAUGGUGAAACCCUGUCUCUACUACAAGUACAAGAAGUAGCUGAGCAUGGUGGUAGGCACCUGUAAUCCCAGCUACUUGGGAGGCUGAGACAGGAGAAUCGCUUGAACCCAGUAGGCACAGAGGUUGCAGUGAGCCAAGAUCACACCAUUGCACUCAAGCCUAUUUCUGAUACACAAAGCAAAAAAAGCAUGUUAUAAACAUUAUAAAUAGAAUGACUCAAUUAUUUAAAAAAUACAUGCAUAAGCACAUGUGGGUGAUAUAAGAGCAGUCUUAGAUUACCUGUUAAGGGAGCUGAGCUGGAAGCUUCCUGGGCUAUGCCUCCAGGCUGUGGGCUUUGAAUAUAAUACCUUUAAAUUUUUUUUAGGCUCAAAUUAUUAUAGGCAUACUAUAUAGGCGUGACCACUGUCACCCAUGUGUCUCUGUGAGACCAACACCAAAUGCCUUUUUAGACAAGAGUGUGUUGCCAGCAUUCUCCCAGUUCUCCUACAAACAAAGGUGUUACUUAUUGAGGUAUGUGUCCUUUGCCAUUCACUACAAGGAAAUAGAAUGCUAUUUUGG